UGAAGAUAUCCUGUGCAUCAAUGCUGUCCUGGCUCCGGGCUGGCUCCGAGCUGGCUCCUCCUCCUGGCUCCGACCCCACAUACAGAAUAUACUGUUAAUUCCUGAUAAGUCAACUACCUGACUGGGCAAGCAGUGAUAUGGACACAAUAGUCAUGUAUUGGCACAGUGAGGAUGAAAGGAUCACGUUA